UACUUUUGUGAUUUAUAUCUACAAGGAUUGAAUUUAUCUUUGUAAGAUGAUUUCUCUUUAUUUGCUAUUUCAGCAUGUGUUGCGAAAUUUCAAGAGCCGAUCUUUUUGAAUUGUUAGUUCUAUUGUAAUUUUGUCAAAGUCUUGAAUUUUAAGUUACAAAUUAGAAUCUAAGGUUUACAUUGUAUUGUCGUAACUUCUGUUGUUAUGUUGAGAAUGAUAUUGAUAAUUCAUGAUUUCAGUUGAUAAUCGAGGCAAUGCUAUUUUUAGUGUUUCUUUAUUAGUAUAGAAAUUUGAAGAAUUUUAAUUGAAAUUUUGAUUUCAUAGGUUGGCCCAGUAGAUACAGAAAAAUUCAUAAACUGAUCUCUUCUUUUUUGUCAGAAAUUAUUUUU
rnacentral:lncRNA from 1 species